AAACUACUCCCUCCGUCCCAAAAUAAGUGACUCAAAAAUGACUCAGUUUUGUACUAACUUCAAUACAAAAUAAAGUCACUUUUGAGCCACUUAUUUUGGGACGGAGGGAGUAGUUA
rfam:Hordeum vulgare subsp. vulgare, WGS project CAJW01000000 data, contig: morex_contig_2547273